AAAAAGAUAAGCUAAAUAAAGCUUUUGGGUUCAUACCCCAAAUAUAAAGUUAAUCUUUUCUUUUUA
rnacentral:tRNA from 1 species